UUGUUAAAACACAAACAAAAUAUCACUACAGAACACCUCUGUGAAAUAAAAACUAUGGAAUAUUUCUCAUUUUGCAGAGGGGAAAAAAAACCCAAGGCACAGAGGCUUAAGAAACCUGCCUAAGGUCACACAGCUAUUAAGUGUGGAAUAGGGCAGCAAGGCCAGAGGAUAAGGAACUAGGGACGUCAAGGCAAGGCAAGUUGGCGUGACAGGCAGUGGGAAGUCAUGCCAGACUAGGAGAGAGGCUUGUUCUUGAAACACGUUCACAAUGGGGCUCAGACAAGAAGUUGUUGAAUGACCCAGCUGUGCCCUGGGCCUUCCUAGUAACACUAUCCAGGGGUUGUUGACUUGAAUCUUGUCCCCUCUUGCCUUCUCCAACAAUUUUAGUUCAAGGAUUCCUAGAGGUAUGGCCACACUGGCCGAGAAGGUCCUUCACAGUCAGUCAGAACCAGUGACUGCUGCUCACCUCCACCGAGGCAGAGGGAAGGCCCUGGGUUGCUCAAUUCUGAGUCACACCCUUCCUGCGCCCUGAGGCAAGGACCAUGUCUGAUUGCUCUUACUUCCUUCAUUUAGAUAAAACUGGCUGUACCUCGGUCUGUCCUCAGACUGCUGAGUCAGGUAAGGCAGGAUGGGCAGUGAAGCCCCCAAUCCAUCAGCACUGACAUCCUGUGAUUCCCAGGAUUAAAUACAGAGUGGAAUUCAUGUCAGGAGGCUGGCCGGGGUCCCUGAUUUGAAUCUUCCCUCAAACAUUUUCAUAUACAUAUGCAUGAUUUUGCUAACCAGUUUUAUGCCUAUUUGACACCAAUUAGAGUCAUUUUGGUAACUCAGAAAAUAUCCCCACUCUACUGGCCUAUAGGUAAGCCUCUAGUGCAUUUUCUCUAUUGAUGAUUGAUGUUGGAGGGCCCAGCCCAGUGUGGGCAGUGCCUCAUCUGGGCCUGUGUUCUCUAAGUAGCAGACUGAACAAGCAAGCUGCAUCCCUUUAUGGCCCCUGUUUCGGGUCCUGCCUCCAAGUCCCUGCCUUGGAAUCCUACCCUGACUGCCCUGGAUGAUGAGCUAUAAAUGGGAGCCAGGCAUGGUGGAGCCUUGCAGGCUGAUCUUCACUUUCUACCGUCUUUGAGAUGGGGCCUCAUUUCUGAAUGGUGUGCCAGGGUAUGUGGCCCAUAGCUUCCAGAGAGUCUCCUGCGUCAGCCUUCCAUCUCCUCAGAACUCCAGGACUGCAGAUGCACAGGCCCCACAUCUGGUCAUUACAUGGGCUCUGGUGAUUCAAACUAAUUCUCAAACUCGUUUGAUUGGCUGGCCUGGAAUUUACCACAUAGCCCAGGCUAGCCUCAAACUUGUGAUGUCUUGAGACUCAGACUUUCCAAGCACCAGGAUUACAGACAGGGUUUCUCUGUGUAGCCUUGGCUGUCCUGGACCUUGCUCUGUAGACCAGACUGGCUUCGUUCGUCUCCCACUGAUGUAUGUUGGACACACUUGCAUCUUGUACUAUGAACGACAGCGGCACAAGAACCGGCUUUCUCAGAGGUCUUUCUUGAUCAGCUCCUUUUCAAUGAAAUUAACUCCUCAGUUCAGCAUGGGGGCUCACACCUGUAACCCCACCAUUCAGGAGGCCAAGAGAAUGGUCCUGAGUUCAAUUCCCAGCAACCACAUGGUGGCUCACAACC